AACCUCCGCAAUGUGAGAAAUCGCGACGGGGGGAUCCCAAGUGCCAUUCUUAACGGGAUGGCUUUUCAUUAGUGUAAAGAGCUUUUGGAAUAAGAGCUGGGCAAGACCGGUGCCAGCCGCCGCGGUAACACCGGCAGCUCUAGUGGUAACAAUUUUUAUUGGGCCUAAAGCGUCCGUAGCCGGUUUAAUAAGUCUCUGGUGAAAUCCUGCAGCUUAACUGUGGGAAUUGCUGGAGAUACUAUUAGACUUGAGACCGGGAGAGGUUAGAGGUACUCCCAGGGUAGAGGUGAAAUUCUGUAAUCCUGGGAGGACCGCCUGUUGCGAAGGCGUCUAACUGGAACGGUUCUGACGGUGAGGGACGAAAGUUAGGGGCGCGAACCGGAUUAGAUACCCGGGUAGUCCUAACUGUAAACGAUGCGGACUUGGUGUUGGGGUGGCUUUGAGCUGUCUCAGUGCCGAAGGGAAGCUGUUAAGUCCGCCGCCUGGGAGUACGGUCGCAAGACUGAAACUUAAGGAAGUU
rnacentral:rRNA from 1 species